rnacentral:lncRNA from 1 species
AAAAUUUGAAGUUUGUAAGGCAGUAGAAAACGAAGAAGAAGCACUAUGUAUUGAAAUUAGAAAAUAUAAGCUUCUCUACAAACAGAAGUAACAAAGGAUAACAUGACAAAUGAACUAUGCAAGCAAUGAAACAAACACCGGACAGAUUAAAGCCAGACUUGAGUAAUACAAAAUAAAUGACAAUAAUUAAAAAUAUUGUUACAGGACAAUUGUGAUAGAAGGAUACAGAAAAAAGAGAAAUGUGAACAUCAUAACUUCACAAGGAAUACAAAUCUAGAACUUGCACUUAGAUUAUUGUUUUCUACAUGUAAUCUUGAGUAAUAUUUGGGAUAAGAUUAAAUUCACAAUGACAUUGAAAAAAAGAGAAUUGCAAUAUUUGACCAUUUAGACUUUCUCCGGAUAUCAAAGGCUCCGUUACAAAACCAAACAUUCAAGUCAUUAUUAAUGUCAUUGAUCUACACAUCUAAUGAAUCUAGAAACUUAUGGUUUUUCCUCAAAAUUAUCUGGAAAAAUACUGCAGAUAUUAGGAGUCAUAUUACCCUAAAAGAAAACACUGAAGAUGCAUGGAAAUGCAAACCCAUGAUUCGAGAGCAGAGAGAUAUUUUUUUAGAGUAUCCUUCAGCAUUCAAAGAUUGUCAUGUUACUGGUAGAACAAGAAAAGGAAUAGUAUAUAGAAUCUUAAUUGAAUAAGGACUGUACUGUAGUGUCUAUAAAUAGGGGGUUAGUGUAAAAAUAUAGAUACACAAUUCAAUAAUACUUUUCUUCUUUAUUUCUACAUGGUACCAGAACCAUCAUACAAUAUUAUCACUGUGCAAUUUUGUCCCGAUGACGGCAGAUUAUUCCACCAUUGUUAGACGGCCAGAAUCUGAUUGCUACAGGUGUUGUGCAAAAUCUGAUAACACCAUCAGGUCCAUCUUCCAGUGACCAAAACCCCACCAGCACCGCCCAAACCGACAUCCCAAGCGCCUCCACUCACCAACCAGAAGGACAUCACCCCCGGCGAGAUCUACCCACGCACUGGCGCGAGAGGCUUGUUCCGAGCAGUUUUUCGAGCAAUUCUUUCAGAAGGCCUCCACUCACCAACCAGAAGGACAUCACCCCCGGCGAGAUCUACCCACGCGCUGGCGCGAGAGGCUUGUUCCGAGCAGUUUUUCGAGCAAUUCUUUCAGAAUAGGUUAGACCAGUCCUUGUGAGCCUAUCCAUCAAUUUUGCAUUCCAGUCUGUUUUCUGACAACAUGUUAGUUUUCUGGUGAACUUUUUGACCUUCAAGACAACCAGUGGUUACCAGCAGUUUUGUAGACCCC